CGUAGGGUGCGAGCGUUAAUCGGAAUUACUGGGCGUAAAGCGUGCGCAGGCGGUUUUGUAAGACAGAUGUGAAAUCCCCGGGCUCAACCUGGGACCUGCAUUUGUGACUGCAAGGCUAGAGUACGGUAGAGGGGGAUGGAAUUCCGCGUGUAGCAGUGAAAUGCGUAGAUAUGCGGAGGAACACCGAUGGCGAAGGCAAUCCCCUGGACCUGUACUGACGCUCAUGCACGAAAGCGUGGGGAGCAAACAGGAUUAGAUACCCUGGUAGUCCACGCCCUGAACGAUGUCAACUGGUUGUUGGGUCUUUACUGACUCAGUAACGAAGCUAACGCGUGAAGUUGACCGCCUGGGGAGUACGGCCGCAAGGUUG
rnacentral:rRNA from 1 species